CGGCAGGCUUAACACAUGCAAGUCGAACGGGCACUUCGGUGCUAGUGGCAGACGGGUGAGUAACACGUGGGAACGUACCUUUUGGUUCGGAAUAAUUCAGGGAAACUUGGACUAAUACCGGAUACGCCCUUCGGGGGAAAGAUUUAUCGCCGAAAGAUCGGCCCGCGUCUGAUUAGCUAGUUGGUGAGGUAAUGGCUCACCAAGGCGACGAUCAGUAGCUGGUCUGAGAGGAUGAUCAGCCACACUGGGACUGAGACACGGCCCAGACUCCUACGGGAGGCAGCUAGUGGGGAAUAUUGGACAAUGGGCGCAAGCCUGAUCCAGCCAUGCCGCGUGUGUGAUGAAGGCCUUAGGGUUGUAAAGCACUUUUGUCCGGGAAGAUAAUGACUGUAGGGAAGAAU
rnacentral:rRNA from 1 species